UUAAGCGGCUAAGCGUACACGGUGGAUGCCCUGGCAGUCAGAGGCGAUGAAGGACGUGCUAAUCUGCGAUAAGCGUCGGUAAGGUGAUAUGAACCGUUAUAACCGGCGAUUUCCGAAUGGGGAAACCCAGUGUGUUUCGACACACUAUCAUUAACUGAAUCCAUAGGUUAAUGAGGCGAACCGGGGGAACUGAAACAUCUAAGUACCCCGAGGAAAAGAAAUCAACCGAGAUUCCCCCAGUAGCGGCGAGCGAACGGGGAGCAGCCCAGAGCCUGAAUCAGUGUGUGUAUUAGUGGAAGCGUCUGGAAAGGCGCGCGAUACAGGGUGACAGCCCCGUACACAAAAAUGCACAUGCUGUGAGCUCGAUGAGUAGGGCGGGACACGUGGUAUCCUGUCUGAAUAUGGGGGGACCAUCCUCCAAGGCUAAAUACUCCUGACUGACCGAUAGUGAACCAGUACCGUGAGGGAAAGGCGAAAAGAACCCCGGCGAGGGGAGUGAAAAAGAACCUGAAACCGUGUACGUACAAGCAGUGGGAGCCUCUUUAUGGGGUGACUGCGUACCUUUUGUAUAAUGGGUCAGCGACUUAUAUUCUGUAGCAAGGUUAACCGAAUAGGGGAGCCGAAGGGAAACCGAGUCUUAACUGGGCGUUAAGUUGCAGGGUAUAGACCCGAAACCCGGUGAUCUAGCCAUGGGCAGGUUGAAGGUUGGGUAACACUAACUGGAGGACCGAACCGACUAAUGUUGAAAAAUUAGCGGAUGACUUGUGGCUGGGGGUGAAAGGCCAAUCAAACCGGGAGAUAGCUGGUUCUCCCCGAAAGCUAUUUAGGUAGCGCCUCGUGAAUUCAUCUCCGGGGGUAGAGCACUGUUUCGGCAAGGGGGUCAUCCCGACUUACCAACCCGAUGCAAACUGCGAAUACCGGAGAAUGUUAUCACGGGAGACACACGGCGGGUGCUAACGUCCGUCGUGAAGAGGGAAACAACCCAGACCGCCAGCUAAGGUCCCAAAGUCAUGGUUAAGUGGGAAACGAUGUGGGAAGGCCCAGACAGCCAGGAUGUUGGCUUAGAAGCAGCCAUCAUUUAAAGAAAGCGUAAUAGCUCACUGGUCGAGUCGGCCUGCGCGGAAGAUGUAACGGGGCUAAACCAUGCACCGAAGCUGCGGCAGCGACGCUUAUGCGUUGUUGGGUAGGGGAGCGUUCUGUAAGCCUGCGAAGGUGUGCUGUGAGGCAUGCUGGAGGUAUCAGAAGUGCGAAUGCUGACAUAAGUAACGAUAAAGCGGGUGAAAAGCCCGCUCGCCGGAAGACCAAGGGUUCCUGUCCAACGUUAAUCGGGGCAGGGUGAGUCGACCCCUAAGGCGAGGCCGAAAGGCGUAGUCGAUGGGAAACAGGUUAAUAUUCCUGUACUUGGUGUUACUGCGAAGGGGGGACGGAGAAGGCUAUGUUGGCCGGGCGACGGUUGUCCCGGUUUAAGCGUGUAGGCUGGUUUUCCAGGCAAAUCCGGAAAAUCAAGGCUGAGGCGUGAUGACGAGGCACUACGGUGCUGAAGCAACAAAUGCCCUGCUUCCAGGAAAAGCCUCUAAGCAUCAGGUAACAUCAAAUCGUACCCCAAACCGACACAGGUGGUCAGGUAGAGAAUACCAAGGCGCUUGAGAGAACUCGGGUGAAGGAACUAGGCAAAAUGGUGCCGUAACUUCGGGAGAAGGCACGCUGAUAUGUAGGUGAAGCGACUUGCUCGUGGAGCUGAAAUCAGUCGAAGAUACCAGCUGGCUGCAACUGUUUAUUAAAAACACAGCACUGUGCAAACACGAAAGUGGACGUAUACGGUGUGACGCCUGCCCGGUGCCGGAAGGUUAAUUGAUGGGGUUAGCGGUAACGCGAAGCUCUUGAUCGAAGCCCCGGUAAACGGCGGCCGUAACUAUAACGGUCCUAAGGUAGCGAAAUUCCUUGUCGGGUAAGUUCCGACCUGCACGAAUGGCGUAAUGAUGGCCAGGCUGUCUCCACCCGAGACUCAGUGAAAUUGAACUCGCUGUGAAGAUGCAGUGUACCCGCGGCAAGACGGAAAGACCCCGUGAACCUUUACUAUAGCUUGACACUGAACAUUGAGCCUUGAUGUGUAGGAUAGGUGGGAGGCUUUGAAGUGUGGACGCCAGUCUGCAUGGAGCCGGCCUUGAAAUACCACCCUUUAAUGUUUGAUGUUCUAACGUUGGCCCCUGAUCGGGGUUGCGGACAGUGUCUGGUGGGUAGUUUGACUGGGGCGGUCUCCUCCUAAAGAGUAACGGAGGAGCACGAAGGUUGGCUAAUCCUGGUCGGACAUCAGGAGGUUAGUGCAAUGGCAUAAGCCAGCUUGACUGCGAGCGUGACGGCGCGAGCAGGUGCGAAAGCAGGUCAUAGUGAUCCGGUGGUUCUGAAUGGAAGGGCCAUCGCUCAACGGAUAAAAGGUACUCCGGGGAUAACAGGCUGAUACCGCCCAAGAGUUCAUAUCGACGGCGGUGUUUGGCACCUCGAUGUCGGCUCAUCACAUCCUGGGGCUGAAGUAGGUCCCAAGGGUAUGGCUGUUCGCCAUUUAAAGUGGUACGCGAGCUGGGUUUAGAACGUCGUGAGACAGUUCGGUCCCUAUCUGCCGUGGGCGCUGGAGAACUGAGGGGGGCUGCUCCUAGUACGAGAGGACCGGAGUGGACGCAUCACUGGUGUUCGGGUUGUCAUGCCAAUGGCACUGCCCGGUAGCUAAAUGCGGAAGAGAUAAGUGCUGAAAGCAUCUAAGCACGAAACUUGCCCCGAGAUGAGUUCUCCCUGAGACUUUAAGUCUCCUGAAGGAACGUUGAAGACGACGACGUUGAUAGGCCGGGUGUGUAAGCGCAGCGAUGCGUUGAGCUAACCGGUACUAAUGAACCGUGAGGCUUAACCUU
rnacentral:rRNA from 1 species